rnacentral:lncRNA from 10 species
UCCCAAGUAGCUAGGACUGUGGGUGUGCAUCAUCAUCAUCAGGCUUGGCUAAUUUUUUUUUUUUUUUUUUUUUUUUUUUGAGACGGCCUCACCUCUGGCCCAGGCUGGAGUAUAGUGGCACAGUCAGGGCUCACUGCAGUCUCAACCUCCCAGGCUCAGGAGAUCCUCCCACCUCAGCCACCCCAGUAGCUGGGACUACAGGCAUAGGCGUGCACCACCAUGCCCCUCUAAUUUUUUUUAAAGAUGGGGUUUUGCCAUGUUGCUCAGGCUGGUCUUGAACUCCAGAGCUCAAGUGAUCCACUCACCAUAGCCGCCCUAAUUUCUUUUUUAAAAGCAGGGUCUUGCUGUGUUGCCCAGGCUGGUCUUGAACUCCUGGCCUCAAGUGAUCCUCCCACAUUAGCCUCCUGAGUGGCUGGGAUUACAGGCCAUUUUUUAAUCUGGUUGUUUGUUUUUGUGCUAUUGAGUUGUGUGAGUUUCUUAUAUGUUUCAGAUAUUAACCCCUUAUCAGAUAAUAUGGUUUGCAAAUAUUUUCUCUCAUUUUGUAGGUUGUCUUUUUGUUUUGUUAAUUGCUUUCUUUUUAGUUUGUUGCAGUCUUACUUAUUUAUUUUUGCUGUUGUUGCCUGUGCUUUUGGUGUCAUAUCUAAAAAAAUUAUUGCCAAGACCAAUGUCAGGGAGCUUUUUUUCCCUAUAUUUUCUUCUAGGAGUUUAUGGUUUCCAGUCUUACAUUUAAGUUUUAGAUCCAUUUUGAGUUAAUUUUUGUAUAUAGUAUGAGACAAGGA